ACUCCUACGGGAGGCAGCAGUAGGGAAUCUUCCACAAUGGGCGCAAGCCUGAUGGAGCAACACCGCGUGAGUGAAGAAGGGUUUCGGCUCGUAAAGCUCUGUUGUUAAAGAAGAACACGUAUGAGAGUAACUGUUCAUACGUUGACGGUAUUUAACCAGAAAGUCACGGCUAACUACGUGCCAGCAGCCGCGGUAAUACGUAGGUGGCAAGCGUUAUCCGGAUUUAUUGGGCGUAAAGAGAGUGCAGGCGGUUUUCUAAGUCUGAUGUGAAAGCCUUCGGCUUAACCGGAGAAGUGCAUCGGAAAUUGGAUAACUUGAGUGCAGAAGAGGGUAGUGGAACUCCAUGUGUAGCGGUGGAAUGCGUAGAUAUAUGGAAGAACACCAGUGGCGAAGGCGGCUACCUGGUCUGCAACUGACGCUGAGACUCGAAAGCAUGGGUAGCGAACAGGAUUAGAUACCCUGGUAGGAUAGCG
rnacentral:rRNA from 1 species